UCCGGUUUAACACCGGCGGUCUCCCUGGAGUGCCCAACUGAAUGAUGGCAACAAGGGACAAGGGUUGCGCUCGUUAAGGGACUUAACCCGACAUCUCACGAUACGAGCUGACGACAGCCAUGCAGCACCUAAACCACCAGCCUCCGAAGAGGAAACCCUAUCUCUAGGGCUGUCUGAUGUUGUCUAACCCAGGUAAGGUUCUUCGCGUUGCAUCGAAUUAAACCACAUGCUCCACCGCUUGUGCGGGCCCCCGUCAAUUCCUUUGAGUUUUAACCUUGCGGCCGUACUUCCCAGGCGGGGUACUUAAUGCGUUAGCGUCGGCACUGUAGGGGUCAAUUCCUACAACACCUAGUACCCAUCGUUUACAGCGUGGACUAC
rnacentral:misc_RNA from 1 species